rnacentral:rRNA from 1 species
GACUGCUAAUACCGGAUGUGCCGGAAGGUGAAAGAUUUAUUCGCCUAGAGAUGAGCUCGCGUCUGAUUAGCUAGUAGGUGUGGUAAGAGCGCAUCUAGGCGACGAUCAGUAGCUGGUCUGAGAGGAUGAUCAGCCACACUGGGACUGAGACACGGCCCAGACUCCUACGGGAGGCAGCAGUGGGGAAUUUUCCGCAAUGGGCGAAAGCCUGACGGAGCAAUACCGCGUGAGGGAGGAAGGCUCUCGGGUCGUAAACCUCUUUUCUCAGGGAAUAAAAAAAUGACGGUACCUGAGGAAUAAGCAUCGGCUAACUCCGUGCCAGCAGCCGCGGUAAUACGGAGGAGGCAAGCGUUAUCCGGAAUGAUUGGGCGUAAAGCGUCCGCAGGUGGCUGUGUAAGUCUGCUGUUAAAGAAUGAGGCUCAACCUCAUCAGAGCAGUGGAAACUACACGGCUAGAGUGCGUUCGGGGCAGAGGGAAUUCCUGGUGUAGCGGUGAAAUGCGUAGAGAUCAGGAAGAACACCGGUGGCGAAAGCGCUCUGCUAGGUCGCAACUGACACUGAGGGACGAAAGCUAGGGGAGCGAAUGGGAUUAGAUACCCCA